AGAGUUUGAUCAUGGCUCAGGACGAACGCUGGCGGCGUGCUUAACACAUGCAAGUCGAACGGUGAUGACAGGGCUUGCCUUGUCUGAUCAGUGGCGAACGGGUGAGUAACACGUGAGUAACCUGCCCCAGACUCUGGGAUAACCCCGGGAAACCGGAGCUAAUACCGGAUAUGACCCUCGUACGCAUGUGCAGGGGGUGGAAAGUUUUUCGGUCUGGGAUGGGCUCGCGGCCUAUCAGCUUGUUGGUGAGGUAGUGGCUCACCAAGGCGACGACGGGUAGCCGGCCUGAGAGGGCGACCGGCCACACUGGGACUGAGACACGGCCCAGACUCCUACGGGAGGCAGCAGUGGGGAAUAUUGCACAAUGGGCGGAAGCCUGAUGCAGCGACGCCGCGUGAGGGAUGACGGCCUUCGGGUUGUAAACCUCUUUCAGCAGGGAAGAAGCGAAAGUGACGGUACCUGCAGAAGAAGCACCGGCUAACUACGUGCCAGCAGCCGCGGUAAUACGUAGGGUGCGAGCGUUGUCCGGAAUUAUUGGGCGUAAAGAGCUUGUAGGCGGUUUGUCGCGUCUGCUGUGAAAAUCCGGGGCUCAACCCCGGACUUGCAGUGGGUACGGGCAGACUAGAGUGUGGUAGGGGAGACUGGAAUUCCUGGUGUAGCGGUGGAAUGCGCAGAUAUCAGGAGGAACACCGAUGGCGAAGGCAGGUCUCUGGGCCACUACUGACGCUGAGAAGCGAAAGCAUGGGGAGCGAACAGGAUUAGAUACCCUAGUAGUCC
rnacentral:rRNA from 1 species